rnacentral:rRNA from 1 species
GCUGCGGGAAGGAUCAUU